rnacentral:rRNA from 1 species
GAACGACUCUCGGCAACGGAUAUCUCGGCUCUUGCAUCGAUGAAGAACGUAGCGAAAUGCGAUACUUGUUGUGAAUUGCAGAAUCCCGUGAACCAUCGAGUCUUUGAACGCAAGUUGCGCCUGAAGCCAUUAGGUUGAAGGCACGUCUGCCUGGGCGUCACGCAU